rnacentral:rRNA from 1 species
ACGGGUGAGUAAUACAUCGAACGUGUCUUCUAGUGGGGGAUAACUGCCCGAAAGGGCAGCUAAUACCGCAUGAGACCUGAGGGUGAAAGCGGGGGAUCGUAAGACCUCGCGCUGGAAGAGCGGCCGAUGUCCGAUUAGCUAGUUGGUGAGGUAAAGGCUCACCAAGGCGACGAUCGGUAGCUGGUCUGAGAGGACGACCAGCCACACUGGGACUGAGACACGGCCCAG